ACAGAGGCGUGGUCUGUCGCUUGACGCGGCCAAAGGAUCAGGCGUCAAGAGGAAAGUCCGGGCACCACAGAGCAACAUCCUUUCUAACGGAAAGCUGUCGGCAACGGCAGGGACAAUGUAACAGAAAACAACCGCCGGGAGCAAGUCUUCCGGCAAGGGUGAAAAGGCGGGGUAAGAGCCCACCGCUCGCGGCGGAAUCCGCGGGGCCGUACAUCCGAUGCGGUGCAAGGCCAAAUAUACCGGCAGUCAAGGGUGGCUCGCCCGUUGCCGGGGGGUAGGCUGCUAAAUUCCGUAAGCAAUUGCGGAGUCAGAUAAAUGACAGACGCAGGCUUUAUGCCUGUACAUAACCCGGCUUACAGCGCCUCUGUUCCC
rnacentral:RNase_P_RNA from 1 species